GCAAGCAAGGAAUAGAGAGUGCUCACAGAACCUGUCAGUGUGAUUUGGUUCCAUACAGGAUGUACAGCUGAAAAGCCUCCAUUUGUGUUUGAGGAAAGGCCAGUAGUAAUCAAGGCUCAGAUGUUUUGAGGGUAAUUUUCUGCUGCCUCGCAUUUCCAAGAGCUCGGAUCCUGCUGCUUAAGCCCGUGCAAAAGCGACGUCAACACUUGUCUUCAGAGGCUGCUGGGACAAAGACUGGCAAUAUGACUCCACCGAAGCUGUAAUUUCAGCUUGCACUCCUGCCUAGCUCAGCUCAGAAAGAGAACAAUUUGCGGUUUACUUUUCAUUAAAGACAUCAACACAUCUCUCAGAAGUCAACAGCAAGUCUAUCACUGAAUUCAGUUAUGCAAGAUCGGGUUCUAAAAUGGAAAAUUCAGCACAUAUACACCGGUAACUGAGAGAAGAAUCAGACCACUCAGGCAGAAAACUUGGAGGUUCUUAUUUCUGU